rnacentral:rRNA from 1 species
AGCGAACGCUGGCGGCAGGCCUAACACAUGCAAGUCGAACGAACCUUUCGGGGUUAGUGGCGGACGGGUGAGUAACACGUGGGAACGUGCCUUUAGGUUCGGAAUAACUCAGGGAAACUUGUGCUAAUACCGAAUGUGCCCUUCUGGGGAAAGAUUUAUCGCCUUUAGAGCGGCCCGCGUCUGAUUAGCUAGUUGGUUGAGGUAAUGGCUCACCAAGGCGACGAUCAGUAGCUGGUCUGAGAGGAUGAUCAGCCACAUUGGGACUGAGACACGGACCAAACUCCUACGGGAGGCAGCAGUGGGGAAUCUUGCGCAAUGGGCGAAAGCCUGACGCAGCCAUGCCGCGUGAAUGAUGAAGGUCUUAGGAUUGUAAAAUUCUUUCACCGGGGACGAUAAUGACGGUACCCGGAGAAGAAGCCCCGGCUAACUUCGUG